ACGCCGAUUUCACGAAGCCGCCAUUUUGAAAUCGAAAGCGAGGCUCCGGUGGGAAGAAACCCGGAAGUAUUGCCUUGAAUCACAGGUGUAGUGAUGUCGUAUUGUUGUGUACCAGGCUGUACAUCCUAUCAACGGAAAGGGUGCGAUAAAGAUUUGUCGUUUCAUCGCUUUCCGAGUGAUCCAAAAGUCUGCCGUGAAUGGAUUGUGAAAAUAAGAAGAGAUGUUGGACCUUACUUUCAGGUUACAGACAACACUAGAGUAUGCUCCAAACAUUUUACCCCGGACUGCAUUGUACGAUCACUCACUGGUUUACAUAGACUGAAACAUGGAAGCGUGCCAACUUUAUUUACGUGGAGCUGUGAGCUGAAGCCCAGGAGGACAGUUGAGCGACAUCAGAGUGUUAAUGAUAUUGAAACAUUUGAGGAGGAUUAAGAGGAGAACCAUUCAUUGUCUGAUCAGAACACAGGAGAACAAUCUAACUGUGGUUUUGGGGCACUGCGAGACCAUGAUUACCUGGAAACAUCUCCUUCCACAGAAGAGCAGCUGAAUGCAGCACAGAAGGAGAUUGCUCGUCUGACAAAAGAAGAUGAAAAUUUGAGAAAUCAGCAGUUUUGUCUACAAAGAUUCCAAUGUGAGCCC